AACGAACGCUGGCGGCAGGCUUAACACAUGCAAGUCGAACGCCCCGCAAGGGGAGUGGCGCACGGGUGAGUAACACGUGGGAACCUUCCUAGAGGUACGGAACAACUCAGGGAAACUUGAGCUAAUACCGUAUACGCUCUUGCGAGGAAAGAUUUAUCGCCUUUAGACGGGCCCGCGUCGGAUUAGCUAGUUGGUGGGGUAACGGCCUACCAAGGCGACGAUCCGUAGCUGAUCUGAGAGGAUGAUCAGCCACACUGGGACUGAGACACGGCCCAGACUCCUACGGGAGGCAGCAGUGGGGAAUCUUGGACAAUGGGCGCAAGCCUGAUCCAGCCAUGCCGCGUGAGUGAAGAAGGCCUUCGGGUUGUAAAGCUCUUUUGUCAGGGACGAUAAUGACGGUACCUGAAGAAUAAGCCCCGGCAAACUUCGUGCCAGCAGCCGCCGUAACAC
rnacentral:rRNA from 1 species